rnacentral:lncRNA from 1 species
UCUACAGCAUGAAAUAUCAAGCAUAUCUCCAAGAGAAACAAAAUAAAGAUGAAGAUCUGGGACGUCAGAUCAUAAAACAGGCAGAGCUUCACCAGGCGGCAUGAUUUUAGGAGGGUCACCACAGGCUGGACUGUGGAUUGUCAGUUUCUUGGGGCACCCAGAAGUGGGGAUGCUUAGAGAAUAAGUCUCAUAUGUAUAAACAAGAACACCAAGGUUGCUUCAUGCACAUGAAAGCAGGAUAAGGGAAUGGGACACUUCAAGCUUCAAGUAUGGCUUGAUGCACCAUCUUCCUUCCCAUGGCCUCUUUUCUCCUCUCUGGAGACUGAAAUAUAUGUUCUGCUUGAUUUAGGAUGGGGUUGAAGAAGCACAGACAAAUUCUGACUCCUUGCUGACCAUCCUCUGCAGAUGGAGUGAAACUCAAUUGAUUAGUUUCUAUUGUGACCCUCACAUUGCAGCCCUGCUUCUCCAGGUCCUCUUGCAAAUUCCCUAGGAUGCUCCUCAGAUUGACAUGGCCAGUCCUGUGGUUUCUCAGAGAAUGAAAGACAAUUUUGUGUGGAUAUAGGUAGUUUACAUGUAAGGGGUGAGUUAUAUCCUCUUAUUACCAUAUUAUUUGUUGAAGAUAGGAAUCCACGCACGUCAACCAAGGUACCGACUACAAUAUACUGCCGACCAUAAGUUUAGUGAUGAGGCUUUUAAAACAAAUGAAAGUAGGGGGCACAAUAAUUCCUUUAGAAGAAGACUCACAACUGGCAUACAGACAUUUGAUGAAGCUUGACCAAAUUAACAUUAAUUCAAAUGUUCAACAAUCAUUUAGAAGCAAAACAGACAGCACUAGGCCAGCAAACCUAGCCAUCUCCCUUUUCACUUCUCAAUCAAGACUUCAAAUUAUAUCAAGGAGAAAGUCUCUGUGUGAACCUUUGGCAUCUGCCUAGCACUGCCUAAUUACCUUUUAUCAUUAUGCAAUCCAACUAGAUAAUGCCAUCUCCACAGAACCCAUACAAUCAUCCACGGAUGCCCUAUCAUAACAGUGCAAUAAGUUGAAUUACUGCCCAGCAAUUAUUCACCACUUUCAUGUAUUCUGUAUCUUUACCUUGUGGCUUUGUGGUUCCUCCCACUGAAGGUGGAGUAUACCUCCCCACACCCUGACUUUGGGUUUGACCCUGAGGUUAGCUGAACCCACUGGGAUGAUAGCUGACAUGAUCCAAGCAGAGGCUGGGUCUGCACUUGUGCCACUGUGCGUGUCUCUUGUACUUCUGUCAACACCAUGAAAAAAGAGCAACUUCUGGCCAGCUGUUGCUCCUCAGCCUGAGGUUCCAGACCAAGCAUAUGAGGAUCAGACCUGAGCACAACUCGCAGUGAGGAGCCAAACCCAGAUGGACACACGUUUUGAGGUGGAGCUAUUGAGGCAAGGCCAGACUAGGUCAGCCAACCCCAGCCAGCCCCAGACAUACUGUGAGUUACAUCUUACAGGGUCACAGCCAAGAUUUCCAGAGACAAGGACACCUGUGGAGCUAUCAUUAUACACACCACUGUGAUUAAACUUCAGCUCACAUAGAAGCAACACGCACUGCUUUUGCCCGACUUCUGUUUUUGCAGUUGAUCUCUGAAGAGAAACCUCUAGGCUGGACCACACACAGACCUGCAAACAAUGAGGCCCAGAAAACAGAUACUGCCUUUGUUAUCCAGUGGAUGAUUCCAACUCACAGCCAGCAAUCUAUGCUUUCAAUAACGAGGAGAAGGACUGACAAGAAUCAAGCACAUACAAGGAAAGCAGUCAUGUGUUUAAGGACAUACAUGAAAAUAUCCAACAGGUUUCCCGCAGCACUCCAUAAGUCAAAUUGCAUAGCGAGCUUGAUAUUCAAGUUAAAAAAAAAAAAAAAGAGAGAGAGAGAAAAGAAAAAAGCUUUUGUUUUGUCUAUAUUUUUUAAAAAAGCGUUUUCAAGUAUUAUUUUACUGUUUUUAAUUAUUAAUGAAUUAUUAUUUAAUUAUUAAUCUCAAGGCAACAAGCUCUGCUAUUAGCUCCCUUUGACAAAGGAGAAAAUAAAGGUUAAGAAAAAUCUGAUUGCUCUUGACUAUCUGAGGGUACAAAACUAAUUAUUAUUAUUAUUUUUUGAAAUGGAGUUUAGCUCUUGUUGCCCAGGCUGGAGUGCAAUGGCUCAGUCUCGGCUCACGGUAACAUCUGCCUCCUGGGUUCAAGCGAUUCUCCUGCCUCAGCCUCACAAGUAGCGGGGUAUUACAGGCAUGUGCCACCACGCACAGCUAAUUUUGUAUUUUUAGUAGACAUGGGGUUUCACCAUGUUGGCCAGGCUGGUCUCAAACUCCUGACCUCAGCUGAUCUGCCUGCCUUGGCCUCCCAAAGUGCUGGGAUUACAGGCGUGAGCCACCACGCCCAGCCUGAAGCUAAUUAUUAAGACUGUUAAAUAGAGCCUGAGUUUGAGACUAAGAUGCUGUCUACUAGGUAAAAAUAUUUUUCUGUAGCCCAUUUAAUCAUUAAGCACAAUAUAAAUUUUGAUCUUCACAUACAUUUUUACCAUUAGAGUUUAAGCAUAUUUAUUUCAUAAAGGAAAUAUAAAAUGACCUCUCAUUUAUUUAUUUAUCUAUCUAUCUUUGGUAAAGGAUGUCCAAAAACUAACCAGUCUGAAAUGGUAUUGAUUUAAGAAAAUACAUUUUCAUGAAAACCAGCCACUGGAGCUUGGAACUGCUUUUAUUCAUCUCCCUCCCCAUACCAGCAACAACAG